rnacentral:tRNA from 1 species
GCGGGCGUAGCUCAAUUGGCAGAGCGUCGGCUUCCCAAGCCGAAGGUUGCGGGUUCGAGGCCCGUCGCCCGCU